AAGAUAGAGGAGGAGAUCUUGGCGGCCACGGCGGUCGGGGCUGGAGGGUAUGCUUUCCAUGAGAAGCAUGAGAGGAAGGAGUACAAGGAGGAGGCGGAGGAGGCGGAGGGAGGGAAGAAGAAGCACCACUUCUUUGGCUGAAGAUGUUUAUAAGAUACAUAUCCCUUGAUUAAUAUAUUUGUGAUCAGGGGAUGAUUCAUAGGAUGGACGGUUAUGAUUUCCUCUUGCUGCAAAUAAGGGCCGAGGUGUUGUGGCUCUCUUGUGUUUAUGAUCACUAGCUUUUUAUUUCCGUGUGAAUGUGAAAAAUAGAAAAAGAAAAAAAAAGUUUAUGUGCUCUGGAUAUACAUAUUGGAAUCCGGAUGCUUUGUGUGGUCAAUAUGUUUAAAGUAGCGUCAGUUAUUAUAAUAUUUUAUAUUUAAAAAA
rnacentral:misc_RNA from 1 species